UAGGGAAUAUUGGACAAUGGGCGCAAGCCUGAUCCAGCCAUCCCGCGUGAAGGAUUAAGGUCCUAUGGAUUGUAAACUUCUUUUCUCUGGGAAUAAAAACCGGUAUUUAUACUGGCUUGAAGGUACCAGAGGAAUAAGCACCGGCUAACUCCGUGCCAGCAGCCGCGGUAAUACGGAGGGUGCAAGCGUUAUCCGGAUUCACUGGGUUUAAAGGGUGCGUAGGUGGCUUUGUAAGUCAGUGGUGAAAGCCCGGAGCUUAACUCCGGAACUGCCAUUGAUACUGCUUAUCUUGAAUCAACUUGAGGUGGAUGGAAUAUUACAUGUAGCGGUGAAAUGCUUAGAUAUGUAAUAGAACACCGAUUGCGAAGGCAGUUCACUAAGGUUGUAUUGACACUGAGGCACGAAAGCGUGGGGAUCAAACA
rnacentral:rRNA from 1 species